rnacentral:lncRNA from 1 species
CCGCCCAGCGCGAGGAGCACGGAGAGGGCUAGUUUCCGCUUGGUUCCACAACCCUUCCCUCCUCGCCCCCACGGGGAUCCCCCUGGGUCUGGACGUUGUGGGGGUGUCCCCUACGCACGGGCGGGCUGAAUGCCGCAAUCCAAAGCUUCUGAUCUUCAGAAUUCCUGAUACUCUUGCCUCAUCAUCUGGGGAUCACAGGUAUAUGCUACUACACCUCAUCAUCUGGGGAUCACAGGUAUAUGCUACUACACCUCAUCAUCUGGGGAGCACAGGUAUAUGCUACUACACCUCAUCAUCUGGGAGCACAGGUAUAUGCUACUACACCUGGUUUGGCCAUAGCCAUGCUGUUUAGCCGUGUUGGGGAUUGAUCCCAGGGUUGUUUUGUUUUGUUUUGUUUUGUUUUUUAAAGAUUGUAUGUAUGUAUAUACACUGUAGCUGUCUUCAGACACACCAGAAGAGUGCAUCGGAUCCCAUUAAAGAUGGUUGUGAAGCUGGGCGUGGUGGCGCACACCUUUAAUCCCAGCACUCGGGAGGCAAAGGCAGGUGGAUUUCUGAGUUCCAGGCCAGCCUGGUCUACAGAGUGAGUUCCAGGACAGCCAGGGCUAUACAGAGAAACCGUCUCGAAAAACCAAAAAAAAAAAAAAAAAAAAAAAAAGAUGGUUGUGAGUCACUAUGUGGGAAUUGAAUUUAUGACCUCUGGAAGAGCAGUCAGUGCUCUUAACCGCUGAGCCAUCUCUCCAGCUCAAUCCCAGGGUUUUGUCCAUGAAGCUGGACAAGCACUCUGUCAGCGGAACAGACCAGGAUAGACUGGGUUUCAGACCAGGAAUUUUACUUACCACAGCAGACAUGGCCUCUAGGUUCUCCCAGCAUCCCUCAGUCCCUACCUGGAAUCCCAGGUCCCCAACCCUGAAAUUUCCAGCCCAGGUGCCCACUGCCCUUCCCUUAGAUGUUCUUUAGUAUAUAAAGCAGACAUUUUAGUCCCACUUACCCAACCCUGCAUGUAUGCUUUCUCUCUCGCUUCCCCCUCCCCUUCCCCCCUCCUCACUGUGACUCCCCUGGCCUGGGCCUUGGGGCCAGUGAACUCACCCCAGAGAGGCUUCCCAAUAAACCAGU